UACGAAGGGAGCUAGCGUUGUUCGGAAUCACUGGGCGUAAAGCGCACGUAGGCGGAUGUGUCAGUCAGGGGUGAAAUCCCGGGGGCUCAACCUCGGAACUGCCUUUGAUACAGCACGUCUUGAGUCCGAUAGAGGUGGGUGGAAUUCCUAGUGUAGAGGUGAAAAUUCGUAGAUAUUAGGAAGAACACCGGUGGCGAAGGCGGCCCACUGGAUCGGUACUGACGCUGAGGUGCGAAAGCGUGGGGAGCAAACAGG
rnacentral:rRNA from 1 species